GAGGCAGGGACCCUAGGCUGCUCUCUGCUCAGUCGGGCUGCUUUUCCGGCCAGAGCUGCCUCAGGGGCUCAAGGAGGUUGUGCACUGUUUGACCUUGAUGGUCGGCCGAGAUCCUCUGCAGUUCCAGCUGCCACAAACCAGUCCCUGUGCUUUCAUGCCAGUCCAUCUCAAGGGCCGGUGCAGGAAGAAGGUGAAAGGCCUGAAGGGAAGAGGCCCUGAGCUGGGAUGCUGGGAUCUGCACCUCGGAAGGCCCCAGGCUUCCAAUAGCUAUGCUCCCUUUCUCUCUCCACCCACAGAGCUCUGACACUUUUCCGGAAAGUCACCACUCAGAAAGAGCAGAGGGUUGGUGGCUUCAAGAAGAAUGGGAACAUGCCUUCUGCCACUGUGGAGUUUCGUCUUCCAGAAUUACGUCUUUCCGCCUUCCUCCCAGUUCUCCAAUUUCAUAUCUAAGUGGGCAUACGGGAAGGAGAAGAGGCUGGACCAGGUUCCCGUUUCUUGGCUGCCUUCUGGGCAUUUCCCCCGAGCCCUCGUUUGACCUCCACAGCACAAAGCUGCCGUUCAUCUCGCGGCCGAGAGAGGCAAGCUCUCUGAGGCACACCAGCCCUGCGUGCUCUGGCCCCGAAGACCAGCUUUCUCCAUUCGUCUCUGAGCCUGCUAGGCCAGGUGCUCCCUGCAGUCUUCUCAGUGGCUCCCGAGUCCCCGUGUGUGGCAGUCGGGGCACUCGAGUGUGCCUUGCACAUUUAAUUAAGUCCGCUAUUUCUGGAAACAGCAGAACUUUUGACAAGGAGUGGUCCAGAGAAACCUUGCUUCCCCGUGGUGCGGCAUGUGAAUAAUUUAAGGCUCUUUUAAAGCUCUGCUUUCUUUCCACUGGUUUCUGAAUCCACGCAUUUCCAGCCUGUGCUUUCGUGUCUUCGUCUGCCUUUGCCUCUCCCCGCUUCUCUGUGAGGAUAUCUGCUACCCUUAAAAAGGGACCUGGACGGUAAUGAACUGACCUCCGACUGUAUCGAUUUACCCGCUUGGCGAUCGCCAUGGCAAACUAAAGAACACGCUCGUUUUCAAACAUGGCGAAGCUCCCAGGGUGGCAAAGGUGCCCGCCCCAUCGCAGGAACCCGUUUCUCGUGUCAUCACUUCCCUGGGCCGCGAGGGCUGGGCUCUUCGAGGGGAGAUGCAGACCCUGGUCCCUUACCUCUCAUACCCUGAAAACGCAGCCUUGCCUCUGCAUUAGCAAGGUUUGGGAUCAGAAGUCCUUUCCUAUUUACCCUGCAAAUAAAAGAGAACCCCACUGGAAAUGGCUUCAGUGCCAUCUGGACCUCACGAGGAAGGUGCUGGCUGUGCCGCGCAGGGUGUGGGGAAUGCACGCAGUGUGCUUGUGAGGAGGUCCUGUGUUCGAGCCCUUCUUCCAUCCCUAUCCCUCCCCCCAGCAUUGCCAGCCUACUCCAGUAGGAAAUGGAGUCUGUCUAGUCUGUCCCAGCUGCGUUAAUAUCAAGGACGUUUCACUUUGGAUUUCAAUCGGACCCGAGCCUUGGCCUUAAUAACAAAGUAGGCAGUUCAUCUCCUCCCCCUGCGGUGUCGGCCUCCUCGCUGUCUAGGACAGUGCCUUUGUUGCACUCCGGACAAAUACGAUGUCAGUGCUUCACCCUUCAAACUUCCCACAUUCCACACUUCAGGGACAUGGGCCAGUGUUCCCCGGGAGUCCCCCAUCAUGGCCCAUGCCUACCGUGGCUUCGGUCCUGCGGAUCCCUCUUCCACGGCUUAGGUAGAAACGGACACAGGAAUAAAGAGGCUGACUAGAGCAUUAUUCACGUUAGACAGGCCGUUCCGUUACCAAAAGACAAGCCCUACUAUGUGAGCAGUGGCUGGCGUGGGGCUGGCGUAAGGGGACAAUGUCGGGUGUGGCCAUGGCUUUGAAGGUCCGGCACAGGCUGUCUGUCGUUUCUCGUGAGGACGGACAAUCCUCGGUGCUUUCAGUGUCGACUCCAAUUGAGACAAAGAACAGUCCGUCACCACUCUGUGAAUUGUGGGUCACUUUGGUGAAUGAAGACUGAAUUGCAACAGAGACAGCUCUGGAGUAAAGCUGAGCACUGCCAGCCCUGGGUGGACGUCUCCACCGCGGCACAAGGUGGAGGCUGACGUCAGAGAAUUCCCCUGUGCUUUGAUUAAAAGUGUAACUGCACGCGACGUCGUGUGCUGUUUCAUCUCCGGUUCCAGGGAGGCUCCGUGGAGACUGUCGUUAGCCGGCGUGGUCAGGUGCACCAACAGCUUCCUGAUGAGCCCCUCCUGCUGUGUGGUGUAGACAGAACCUCCGCCAAGGCACUCCGCAGAGCUCGAGUGUCCAUGUUCCAACUGUGUUACCGAGAGAACUGUCAAAUGUCAGUAAAUAUUUCGCAGUUCCUUAGGAAAAAGUGUUAGCCUUUUUUUUUUUUUGGAGAGAUUUUCACUAUAGGGCAUGUGUG